UUCGUUCGUUUCUUAUAUAAACCGUAUUAUUGAUGGAUUAUUUAGUUAAAAUUACAUCCUAACAUGCGUUUGUAGUACAUUUUAAAUGAUAUAAUAAUGUCUUAUUCGUUCGUUUCUUAUAUAAACCGUAUUAUUGAUGGAUUAUUUAGUUAAAAUUACAUCCUAACAUGCGUUUGUGGGUGCAUAAACGUUUCGAAGUUAUUCUCACACAAAAGAGCUAAAAAUUUAAAAUACGAAGUUUUAUACCUCUGCAAGAAGGUAAUCGUUAUCACGUUGAAGCGAGUCGCGGCUGCGUUUGAGUGAAUCAAAGUUUGACUUAAGAACGCCGUAAUCACGUUCGAGCUGCUUUGUCUUCCACCGAGCACGGCGGUUCUGAAACCAGAUCGCCACUUGUCGAGGUUGCAGCCCAAGCUCUUGAGCCAGCUUCACUUUUCUCUCAGGCUCUAACUUGUUAUCAAUCUCGAAAUUCUUUUCUAACGCUUUCACUUGCACUACACUCAACCGCCGUUUUUUCUCCGCUGCUGCCGUAGACGACGCGUGUCCAACGCCGAUGUCCUCUAGACUUCCGUCUUCUUCUAGACCGUCGAACAUCUGGGAGUAGUCUCCGGCGCCGCCGGGGUAGAGAAAGCCGGUGGCUGUUGGUCGUGGACUUAGUUGUUUGUCUGAUAAAAUCACGGUAGUGCAUUAAAAAAACGUAUAUAUCAAUCUGAGCGGAUAAUUUAAAUCAAAAUUGGGAUAUUUCUAAUAUUAUGUCAUGAAUUACACUAAAUUUCAAAAACCCUGACAGGAUAACGUCUCGAUAAUAUGAAUUGUCAGAAAACACAUCUUUGCCAGUUUUAAAUAAUAAAUAAAUUAUAAAUAAACACUCGACUUGUACCUCUAGCUAAUUCUACAUUUUCAUUAAUAUAUACUAAAUCAAAUCACUAAUCAACAUCCAGAUAUCCUACACAGAACUGCACUUUCAAAAGAAGAAAAACUUAAUAAGAUAAUUGACUGUAACCUCAAUAAAACAGAUAUACAACUAACAUGUUUUUUACCUGCUGUAGAGUGGCAAAUUGGUAAGAAACCGGAUAAAGAAUCCGAGCUUCCUCGUGAUCUCUUCAUCUUGUUUGGUCGGGAACUAUUGAGAUCAAGAACUACUUACGAAGAUCGAAAGAUUAGAGGGCCUAGAUCAGUGUGAGUAGUAACGAACGACGAGGAUCUAUCUACGACCAAUACAUGUAGUAAUAUUGCUCGAAGAUACGAUCAUUUCCGAAGGAUUUUGGCGCUGUGUCUACAAUUAUCCAUCCAAAGAUGGAAACAGAGAAUUGAUCUGAGUUAACCAAUUUACCUAGAAAGAUUCAUCUAACACCUUCCAAGAAAAAUAUUAAACUCUUAAACCAUAGAAUUUUCUCGAUCAAGGAAAUAUAAAAAUUAGAAUUUACAAUAAAGAGGAAAAGAUAACAGAGUGGGAGAGAGAGAGAUGGUCUCUAGGUCCCCUCUCCGGGUUUUAAAUAAGAAGACAGCUUAACCCUAGGGGAAGUGUUGGAGAUAUCUUGAGUUUAUUUCAAUAUUUUUUUUGUUGGAAUGUUUAUUUUAAUAUAAAUUUUUAAAAGCGAAAACAAUUUACAGAAAUUUACAAUGGUUGAUGUUUUACACCGGCUCUAUAGCCGCUUUUUUCAUGCGAGUCUGUUUCAGGAUCUUGAUGAGUUGAUGGUGUUUUUCAGCUCGGCUACAUUUGGAGCCGGCAUCGAAUUCUAAAGAUUCAUUAAACUAGAUGGUAUAAUCAUUAGUUUCUACUUUCUAUAGUUUCUUUUUAAAAGAAAACAACCCAUUAAUUUAGUUAUAAAUACUCCCUUUUAUUUUACAAUAUAAAUUACCCCUAUGUGUAUAGUAAAAAUAAAUAAUAAAUUUAAUAAUAAGUAUUUAUGAUAUUUUUAAUAUGCAUGAAUAUUUUAAAAUUUCAAUCAUUAAGAAUGAAGAGAGUAUUUUAGAAAAUUUAUUUUGUUUUAAAUUUAAUAAUAAAUAUUUAUUAGAUAGUGUAACCACAUAUAAUGUAGAUUUAUUUAUGAUUUGUUCAAAUAUAUAUAAUUUAUCUAUUAAAAGAUAUUUUUUUAAAUACAGCUUUUAACCUUUGUGCUUUUAUUUAUAAUAACUUAUAUUAUCAAAUAGUGAAAAAUAUUCGGUACAAAGAUACUAUAGUAUUUUGGAAGGCUUUGAUGGUUUAAUGGAAGCGAAAAAUAUAAGAACAAAUCAAUCAUCCUUUCAUUAGGAGAUAUAGACUUUCAUUUGGGCAAUAGAGUGCAUAAGGAAUCUAAUACAAUUUACUGUUAUAUUUGCAACAGAUUGUUCUCAGUUGGUGAAGAUGGUUUCUGAACCCGAAAAAUAGCCGACAUUUGGAAGUCAUCUGGAAGAUAUAAAUUUCCUAAAAAAUGCUUCAACAGUUUAGAACUCAUUCAUAUACCAAAGACGCAUAAUUCAAGGGAAGACAGUUUUGCACGUAGUGCAGAAAAGCAACUAUCGUUUGUUGUCCAUAUGGAUGUGGAGCUACCAUUUUGAUUUACAGAAUCUGUAUGAAUUUGUUUGUUGCUGACAAAAAAACUUAUAUUAUGAAAUAGAAUGAGUAUCUUUUAACUAAUGACAAUAACCUUUUUUUAUUGUAUAUCUUGAUGUUACGGUUCAAAUACUUUGUAAACUAAAAACAAAAACAACAUAAAAAGGUGACUCAAAAUUUUUAAGAAUUUUUAAGUUAUUUGGAAGCAAAUUUGUAAGAUUAAUUGGAAUAUUAUUUGUAAACAUAAAUAUGAGGGUGAUAUUAUUAUGGCUUCGAAUGGUGACGAACCGCCCCGCACCGCAUCGCCAUGAAUAGUAGCAACUUUUUUUUUACAUAUACUUAUGUAUCUAUAUAUUUUUGUUACUAUUACAACCGCAUCGCACUUGUUCUGCAAUUAUCCCGCACGUCACCAUUCGGAGCCUACACGCAGUCCCGAGGCAGUGGAGGACACUGGCUUAGCUCUAAGACUUCGUCAUUAGCAAUCACCGUCUGAAACGCGACCGUUUCCACCGUUUUUACAACGUCCGUUUCUUCUGUCACGGCGUUACCAUUGUUUCCGCAUGUCCCUUCCACGUCAAGUUUUGCUCUCAGCUCUUUAAUCUGCGGAGAUGAAAUAUUUAAUAAAUCAUAAGUUGAUUUUGUUGUAGAGUGUAGUUAUUAUUUAUUAUUCCCAUUCGUGUAAUCUAAUUAAUAAAACAUGAAAUUAUGAGUUAUAAUUAUCAAGUUCUCAACAUUUAGAAACUAUAAAUUUUAUUCAGUUUUUUAUAUAUUCUACAGUACUUAAGGUUGUGGAUUCGUUAAAGUAUAAAAGUUCAAAUAUAUACUCAAAUGUAAACAAACAAUUAACACCGUAAGUUGAUCCUUUUUAGUAUAUGUACAUUUUAAAUGAUAUAAUAAUGUAUUGUUCGUUCGUUUCUUAUAUAAACCGUAUUAUUGAUGGAUUAUUUAGUUAAAAUUACAUCCUAACAUGCGUUUGUAGUACAUUUUAAAUGAUAUAAUAAUGUAUUGUUCGUUCGUUUCUUAUAUAAACCGUAUUAUUGAUGGAUUAUUUAGUUAAAAUUACAUCCUAACAUGCGUUUGUAGUACAUUUUAAAUGAUAUAAUAAUGUCUUAUUCGUUCGUUUCUUAUAUAAACCGUAUUAUUGAUGGAUUAUUUAGUUAAAAUUACAUCCUAACAUGCGUUUGUGGGUGCAUAAACGUUUCGAAGUUAUUCUCACACAAAAGAGCUAAAAAUUUAAAAUACGAAGUUUUAUACCUCUGCAAGAAGGUAAUCGUUAUCACGUUGAAGCGAGUCGCGGCUGCGUUUGAGUGAAUCAAAGUUUGACUUGAGAACGCCGUAAUCACGUUCGAGCUGCUUUGUCUUCCACCGAGCACGGCGGUUCUGAAACCAGAUCGCCACUUGUCGAGGUUGCAGCCCAAGCUCUUGAGCCAGCUUCACUUUUCUCUCAGGCUCUAACUUGUUAUCAAUCUCGAAAUUCUUUUCUAACGCUUUCACUUGCACUACACUCAACCGCCGUUUUUUCUCCGCUGCUGCCGUAGACGACGCGUG
rnacentral:lncRNA from 1 species